rnacentral:rRNA from 1 species
CAGUGGGGAAUAUUGGACAAUGGGCGCAAGCCUGAUCCAGCCAUGCCGCGUGAGUGAUGAAGGCCCUAGGGUUGUAAAGCUCUUUCACCGGUGAAGAUAAUGACGGUAACCGGAGAAGAAGCCCCGGCUAACUUCGUGCCAGCAGCCGCGGUAAUACGAAGGGGGCUAGCGUUGUUCGGAAUUACUGGGCGUAAAGCGCACGCAGGCGGAUAUUUAAGUCAGGGGUGAAAUCCCGGGGCUCAACCCCGGAACUGCCUUUGAUACUGGGUAUCUGGAGUAUGGAAGAGGUAAGUGGAAUUCCGAGUGUAGAGGUGAAAUUCGUAGAUAUUCGGAGGAACACCAGUGGCGAAGGCGGCUUACUGGUCCAUUACUGACGCUCAGGCACGAAAGCGUGGGGAUCAAAAGGGAUUAGA